rnacentral:lncRNA from 1 species
CUCUCCUCCUCCAGCUCGGCCUUGAGCAUCUCGACGGCAAGACUCUGCUGCCGCAGAGCCUCCCGCAAGGCCUCCAUUUCGCCGUCGUCUUCAUCGUCUCCGGCCAUGGCGCAGGGCGAUUAAAUCAAGCAAAAAUGGGGAACCUGUGCGCACCUCUGGAAAUUAACUACCAGAUCGGUAGAAAAUCAUAAAAAUGAUUCAAGCAGAUAUUUUCAGAUAGCAGAUCUUGCUUCGAGGUGAUUCGUUGGGAUUGGGCAUCACCCAUCACCAAGAAAAGGAACUUGACAAGUCGGCCAUGAAAGUGAAAGGACAGGAGAAAUGAAGGAUCAGGAACACAACACCUACCUGACAGGGAUCUUCUUGUAGCCACAGCAUCCAGCUUGUCUCAAGGAUUAAAGUGACAAUAAUUGACGACUUCAAGCUAGCGUUGAUUUAAGCUCCGUAUUCGCUGUCAUUAUCAAGAACAAAGCUGUAGUGCCAAAGAGUGGCCUCCGUCCGGUUGGUAAUACGUGUAGUAUUAAAUUCGUGGUUGAUCGCCUUUCUUUCCAAUUUGAUUCUUUCUUUAUCUAAUUCAAUUCAGUUAUAGUUCUUCCCAUAUCCUGCCGACUUGGGUGUUUUCUUUUG